GAGCCUUGUGGAUCUUUAGUCUUGCAGGAAAUUGUUGAAAGAUAAGUCUUAAGCGAAACCAAAUACAAUCGAUUAAUCGUGCUAUUUUGAAAUUCUGUUAGUCGCCUUAAACUUACUGCUAGUUUAAAGUUUAAACCUCUAAUAGCUGAAACUUAUUUUUUUUAGAGUGCAAUAAUCUUAUGCAUAGGGAAUAAAUUUUUCAUUGUGAAGAGUAUGGCUGUAUUUAAGAAUGGCCACUAUUUGUACAUGGCUUUCUGUAAUUUCCAAAUGGUGGAACCUAUCAUGAUUCAUAUUUAUCUACGAUCAUUGCAGAGGUCACCAUUCACCAACUUAUGGAUUUAUAUAAACUGUGAGCUCUAGAUGUUCACUUCCCACAUAGUUUUGUAUAUAUUUACAUGUCUGUCUUGAUUGCAUAUAAAUACAAAGAGAUGUGGUGUUCUCAUUGUUGAAUGAUAUCUGGAUAGUUUGGAAUGGAGACACGAGCUUGAUUGAGUUUUUAGCUCUCUAGAACAGUUUUUUGGUUCUUUUCCAUGGUAUGAUCUCUUUGUAAAAUUCCUUUUUGCCAAACCUAAUACAUAAAAUGGUUUUCUCAUGUAAUGAUUUUGAGAGGCAAAGGCUUAAAUUGUGCUUGCGUAAACAGAAAUUUUGAGUCGCCUAUUCUGUUUCCUCUUUUGUGGCUUGAAAAUGAACUCUAUGAACUAGUAUGUAUACUCGUCUUAGUUUAGUUUUUCAGUCCUUGCAGAGAUUUGGUUCUCAAGAACCAGAAAACUCUGUAAAGAAGAUUUCUUGCUUGCCUCAACCUAGUUGUACACAAGAAGAGAGUCAAAUGCAAAUCUCAAGAUCUUCAUCCAAUCUAAUGCGGAAAUGGAAUUCUGCUUCUGUUACAGAUCAUAGAAGUCAGAUUAGUGAAGAACUUGAACAUCGAAUUGGAUUGAUGGAAACUUCAUUAAACAGGUUUGGAAUGAUCCUGGAUUCUGUUCAGAGCGAUGGCAUGCAACUAAACAAAGGAAUGAAAGAAGUUUCACUGGAGAAACAAGGGACAAGAAGAUUUGAAAGCUAGCGUUGCUGGGGGAUUUAAGUUGAUAUCUGAUCGGCUUAGCAAAGAUAUAUAUCAAGAGUUCAAGACAAGUUACAGGAGAUUUUCAAGGUGGUCUCAACCUUACCACAGCAGGUGGAAGCGUCUAUUUUGAGAUUACAAGAUAAGCUCGGCAACACCCUCUCCAAAGAGUGCAAGCAAUGGCUUGCAGCCUGAAGACUCCUAACCAAAAAUAUAUAGCACCCUCUGUCCUCCUCCCAGAGGGUACUGACCAACGUGCUACUUCACAGUGAUAUGCAAAGCCUCCUAGGGAUCCUUGCAGAGAUUUGGUUCUCAAGAACCAGAAAACUCUGUAAAGAAGAUUUCUUGCUUGCCUCAACCUAGUUGUACACAAGAAGAGAGUCAAAUGCAAAUCUCAAGAUCUUCAUCCAAUCUAAUGCGGAAAUGGAAUUCUGCUUCUGUUACAGAUCAAAGAAGUCAGAUUAGUGAAGAACUUGAACAUCGAAUUGGAUUGAUGGAAACUUCAUUAAGCAGGUUUGGAAUGAUCCUGGAUUCUGUUCAGAGCGAUGGCAUGCAACUAAACAAAGGAAUGAAAGAAGUUUCACUGGAGAUGGACAGCAUACGGCGGAAACUGAUUGUUCGAGAUAACUUUCUGCAGUCAAUGGUAAAGCCUUCUGCUGUGAUGUUUGAGAUAUGGUUUCUUCUAACACGUUUUGAGAUAUGGUAAACCAGAACAAGGGACAUGAAGAUUUGAAAGCUAGCGUUGCUGGGGGGAUUUAAGUUGAUAUCUGAUCGGCUUAGCAAAGAUAUAUAUCAAGAGUUCAAGACAAGUUACAGGAGAUUUUCAAGGUGGCCUCAACCUUACCACAGCAGGUGGAAGCAUCUAUAUUGAGAUUACAAGAUAAGCUCGGCAACACCCUCUUCAAAGAAGUGCAAGUAUGUACGAUGUCGUAAUGGAAACUGCUGAUAUAUGUGUGAUUCAAGGCUUUAAGAUAAUUCAUUUUGUGGUCCUUGUUUGACUGUAGUAAAUGUUUUAUUGAAUUUUAUUUCUUUGCCUGACACAAACAAUGCUCAAAUCUUCCCUAAUCUCUUUCUUUUCAA